rnacentral:lncRNA from 1 species
GACAGAGAUUUGAAUUCUCCUUGGCAUGGAGGUAUCAGGGUCCUGCUCAGUGAGGGACCUCCCAACAGGGGCCUGCAACCACCCCCGCCAGUGUUCUGGGGCUGACAGAGAUUUGAAUUCUCCCUGGCAUGGAGGUCUUGGGGUCUGGCCCACUGAGGGAUCUCCUAACCAGGGCCUCCAGCCACCCCCGCCAGUGUUCUGGGGCUGACAGAGAUUUGAAUUCUCCCAGUUUCUCCACAGACACUACCCAAAGCAGUCCUUCACUACAGUGGCAGACAGACCUGAAAAUUUUCAUCUGAAGCAGCAGAGUGAACUGCAGAGUCAGGUCACCAACCAGUGUGGAGGCUAAAAGCGGGCCUCUUUGGGGAUUCCAGGUGGAAGUGUUGGACAUCUGUAGUAUUCCUGGUCUCAAAUCAUCCUGAUAUUCUUCAUUUUGUUAUUCACAUUGGACUAGGGCAAGGAAAUGAGUUCUGCAGGAACAAAGAUCACCACAACUGGCUCCCCUUCAACUAUGUUAGAUGGCAACUUGCCUUCAGUAUGGUGAAACACAUCAGUUAAGACUGGGGUUGUGCAUGGCAGGACUUUCUACAAGGACACCCAGUCUCCUUAAUAAACAUGAGAUGCUCUCUUUCCAGAAGUUCUCUUGCCUGACACAGCAUAGGAAGAUGCUGAACGGCCACACAGUGACCCAUUGAGAUAGAAUCUCACUAUGUUGACCAGGCUGGUCUUGAACUCUUGGCACCCAAGCGAUCCUUUUGCCUGGAAUCCCAAAGUGUCAGAUUUACUGAAGAAUAUUUCAUUGUAAUUACUUUUUAUACUUUAUAGGUCAAGAGCUCUGUUUUAAAGACAAAAUUUAUUGAAUAUACUUUUUCAAACAAA